AUCCUUUUCCAGUUCAUAAGUGUGAUGACUGGGUUCUCACACACUUGCGUGAUAUAUGCCUCCCUCUCAACCGUGUUAUGGGAACAUUACCCGUCUGACA